rnacentral:rRNA from 1 species
CGAAGGGAGCUAGCGUUGUUCGGAAUUACUGGGCGUAAAGGGCGCGUAGGCGGCUUGAUAAGUUUGAUGUGAAAGCCCUGGGCUUAACCUAGGAAUAGCAUUGAAUACUGUCAGGCUAGAAGCCGAGAGAGGGAAAUGGAAUUGCGAGUGUAGAGGUGAAAUUCGUAGAUAUUCGCAAGAACACCAGUGGCGAAGGCGAUUUCCUGGCUCGGUACUGACGCUAAGGCGCGAAAGCGUGGGAGCAAACAGGAUU